rnacentral:rRNA from 1 species
UUGCGCUGAUUGAGCGGCCGAUAUCAGAUUAGCUAGUUGGUGGGGUAAAGGCCUACCAAGGCUACGAUCUGUAGCGGGUCUGAGAGGAUGAUCCGCCACACUGGAACUGAGACACGGUCCAGACUCCUACGGGAGGCAGCAGUGGGGAAUUUUGGACAAUGGGGGCAACCCUGAUCCAGCCAUGCCGCGUGAGUGAAGAAGGCCUUCGGGUUGUAAAGCUCUUUCGGCCGGGAAGAAAUCGCAUAGGCUAAUACCCUGUGUGGAUGACGGUACCGGAAUAAGAAGCACCGGCUAACUACGUGCCAGCAGCCGCGGUAAUACGUAGGGUGCGAGCGUUAAUCGGAAUUACUGGGCGUAAAGCGUGCGCAGGCGGUUUAGUAAGACAGGCGUGAAAUCCCCGGGCUCAACCUGGGAACUGCGCUUGUGACUGCUAAGCUAGAGUACGGCAGAGGGGGGUGGAAUUCCACGUGUAGCAGUGAAAUGCGUAGAGAUGUGGNANGGANACACCGAUGGCGAAGGCAGCCCCCUGGGCCGAUACUGACGCUCAUGCACGAAAGCGUGGGUAGCAAACAGGAUUAGAUACCCUGGUAGUCCACGCCCUAAACGAUGUCAACUAGGUGUUGGGAGGGUAAAACCUUUUAGUACCGGAGCUAACGCGUGAAGUUGACCGCCUGGGGAGUACGGCCGCNANAGGUUAAAACUCAAAGGAAUUGACGGGGACCCGCACAAGCGGUGGAUGAUGUGGAUUAAUUCGAUGCAACGCGAAAAACCUUACCUACCCUUGACAUGUCCAGAAGCUCUUAGAGAUUUGAGUGUGCCCGAAAGGGAGCUGGAACACAGGUGCUGCAUGGCUGUCGUCAGCUCGUGUCGUGAGAUGUUGGGUUAAGUCCCGCAACGAGCGCAACCCUUGUCGUUAAUUGCCAUCAUUUAGUUGGGCACUUUAACGAGACUGCCGGUGACAAACCGGAGGAAGGUGGGGAUGACGUCAAGUCCUCAUGGCCCUUAUGGGUAGGGCUUCACACGUCAUACAAUGGUCGGUACAGAGGGUUGCCAAGCCGCGAGGUGGAGCCAAUCCCAGAAAGCCGAUCGUAGUCCGGAUUGCAGGCUGCAACUCGCCUGCAUGAAGUCGGAAUCGCUAGUAAUCGCGGAUCAGCAUGUCGCGGUGAAUACG